GCUGAGAACGUUGGCGGCAUUUGCAGCUUUUUGUGGUGUACGUUUCGUCGGCUGAAUGGAACUUAUGGUUUAUACUUGGAUAAAUAUUACUGACACGAGGUUACCAUUUCCGUGGUGAUGAGGAAAAUUGUGGCCCCAGACAAAAGAGAAUGUGACAUAGUGGACAUAACGUUAUCAAGUAUCCCAAAGUCAUUGCUACGUAAUACGGAAUGUUGAAUGGUGGUUGUACGGAUGGUACUGUUACUGUCUCCCAGAUCACUUCUGCCUGUGUGAACUUCCACUCCAAGUCAGCGUUGUCCUAUGAAGCAGCAACGAGGUUGUUGAGUGUGAUUGGUGGCUGCAUCGAGCAUUGUUACUGCUAUGUCUUCCAUCUCGUCUCUGAAAUUGUAGUACAAAACGGCUUUCAUGGGGUUAAAACGUGCAAGAUUACAAAAGAUGCCACUCAACGUCAUGGCGGUUACAAUUGGAUCGGGAGAUUCGAAUAUGACGUCUGUGCUACACAGCGUUGACAGAUGACUUGCAUCGAUACCCAGUUGAUGGAGCUUCUUAGAGCUGGGCAAGACUGCACCCGAUCUGACAAAUUGACUUUGGCUCCGAACUGUAUGAGCAUGUCGAUACAAGAGGAGUUAGUAGAAGAUCCGGCUGCUGCGAGAAGUGCGAAAUUGUAUGGAGUGUUUCUACUCUUUGUUUGAGGAAAGAGUUUCAGAACUGCCUGCAAAAGCAAUGAAUAUCUUGUUCCUACUGAUCACAUCAGGCUGACAUUGCUUCACCACAUCUAGCAGUUCCUUUACGUCAGUAUGUCGUUCAAGAAGUAGCUUCAAAGCAUCCGGACAAUCACAUUUACCAGUAGACUGAUUACGUACCUCAAGAUCACAACCCAAUUCCAGCAGAAUGGUGAGAAACUGUGGAUCGACGGAGCAUUGAGUAGAUAGCUGCAAUAGUUGAGACACCGAAUUACAAAGUAUACAAAUCGAUGACCUAAUGUUGCUCUACCACGUGACAUAGUACAGUUUGUCCCAUGUUGUCGGGUUUGUUCACAUUUUUAGUCUUUCGACCAAUGACUAAAAUCAUCUG